GGCGACCACACUCUUCCUCUCCCAGUGGUAAAAUUGAUGGGCAAGGACACAGCAGGCUGGCAGGCCCCCGGCCCCCACCGCAGCAGCCAGAUGCCAAUAGCUGGAGGGAGCGUCCUAGCUCAGGAACCAAAUGAAUGCAAACUGGGGAGGGCUGGGAUGGGGGCCCUAGGGCCAUUCCUCACCUGGCUUUGUAUUUGCAAGCCCUGUGUUGGGGGUGCAGGGAAGGCAUUUUGAAGUGCAGAAGGUGCUGUACAAAUGCCUGAGAGUACCGAUGUCUGCUGCCCUUGUCACUGUUGAAUGCGGAGAUCAGAAACCUUAAAACA
rnacentral:lncRNA from 1 species